AUGGAUUUUUCUAAGUGCCUUCAUGGUCUCUUACUUCAUAUUUCAGCUGCUGGUCCAUGAGUUUAGAUAAUACCAUGAAACGCCACACUGAAAAAUCCACCAAGCACUGGUUCUCCAUCUAUCAGAUGCUUGAAAAGCACAUGCAGGAACAAACAGAGGAUCAUGAAGAUGACAAACAGAUGACCCUGAUGUUGCUGGUUAGCACGCUACAAGCAUUUAUUGAAGGAUCCUCUCUGGGAGAAUUCCAUGUGCGACUUCAGAUGUUACUGGUUUUCCAUUGUCAUGUUUUGCUAAUGCCACAAGUUGAAGGAAAGGGUAAGAAAAUUUUUUCCCCUUCUUUGUAAACUGCACUGCUAAUUGGGCUAUGCUUUUAAUUUUCCACAUGAGACAGGUACGUUGUUGCACACCAGAUUUUUAAAAAGACAGUUCUAAUCAUCUUUA
rnacentral:lncRNA from 1 species